ACACUUUGGUUUCUCUUCAGCACGCACAAGCAUUUUGUCCUUUUACUUAAGACUUCCGUGGAGAGGAACAUCAUGAGUAUCAACCCAUUUUUUGAUGCCCUUCUCAGGCGGGGCU